rnacentral:rRNA from 1 species
AUGAGGAUGAGAAUGAUGGAAAGGUCAUGGGAGAAGCAACCAUAUAUAGGCAUGAUAUACAACACGGGUGUGAUUUUGGAUUUGGAUGAGGAAGACCAGCUUGCCAGGAUCAUCGACAUUGAGCAGGGGAACAUUGGUUCACGGUUUGUUCAUCGUUUCACACGCACCAACACCAGGAAGAAGUCAAUGAAAAUCCCCAACAAAGUGCGUGUGCUCCUGAAUAUUGGAGCUGAAGGUUUUAUUGGUGUUCGUUUGGGAGAAGGCCCGGUCUCCAGGGUUGGAUUCAAAACAUCCAAGGAUGGACGCAUGGUUUUCAGUAAGGAGUGGGGAAUUUUCGUGUCAACUCACAACUUGGAGGCAGGGAGUGCUGCUGUUUUCACCUUUCGUAGGAGCAAUACGGCCACCUUUGACGUGGUUUGUGUUGUUGACAUUCUGAGCAUAUGA